GUGUGGAUGGAAUCAGUGGUGUUCCUGCUUCUGGUGAUUUCAGUUACGAACAUGUAUCCAUGGAGGACCCUCUACAAAUGGAUGUAUUGGACAAUGAUACAGAUUGUUUGUCUUCUGGUGUGUCUCGUCCUGUAGAAGAUGAAUCGCGUCAGUUGGAAACACUUGAGUCAUCCACAUCUAGACGACAAGGUCUAAGCAUGUUUCUGGUAGGUAAACAAAAGGACAAGAAAACAAUGUAUAAAUCUGCAUCAGAUUUGGCUAGGGAGGAAAUAGUUAAUCUUGAAAAGGCAAACCUGGAAGAGAGAAGACAAAUGAGAGUUGCUUUAGAAAGGUUGGCAGCAGCACAGGAGAAGAUUGCUGAUGCCCAACUUCGCAGGGCAGAA